rnacentral:misc_RNA from 1 species
AAGUCGUAACAAGGUUUCCGUAGGUGAACCUGCGGAAGGAUCAUUACCAAAUGAAUUUUACUAUUCAAACCCAUGUGCACGGUGAUUGAAAUGUCUUGGUUUUUGGGGUGGGUGGUGUAUUUUACACUGUUCCCCACCCCAGCCAUUUUGUUUAACUUCGUUUUACAAUUUUGUCAUGGCAUCGCAAACUUGUCUUAAUACAAUUAUUAUGACAACUUUUAACGGUGGAUCUCUUGGCUCGUG